AGCUGGCAGGGGUGAGCUGGCUGAGUCUGCUCUGCCCCUCCAGGUCAUUGCUCAAUGAUUUACCUGACUCCUAACAUCUCUAAGGAAAUAUUUGCAGUGGAAAUCACCAGAAACCAUGUAUUGUUUGCUUUGCUCCCCACCAGUUGCUCUGGAUGUCCUCAAUGACAUCACUUGCCUGAUGUAAAGCUCUAUAUAUGAAGAUGCUUGGCGUGGGUCCUUCUCAGAAGACAGGGACAUCGGCUGGAGAGCUUCACACUCCUGAGCGUGGUCAGUUACCAGGACCGAAGAUGUCUCCGUUCUGGGCUCUCUUCCUCCUCUGCAGCCUGCUGACCCCUUCACAAGGAUUUAGAAUCGUGCCCUUGGUUUCCCAGGUGGAUGUAGAUGAUAUUAAAGAUUCCCUGGCCAAACGUGACCUCCGGAAACCUAAAGGUGGUCUCCUUGGUGGCAACCUGCUUGGUGGUCUCCUUGGAAAAGACGGUGCUCUUGGCAAAGUCCUUGGCAAAGAUGGUGCUGUUGGUGGUCUCCUUGGAAGGAAAGGUCUCCUUGGAGGCGGUGGUGUCCUUGGUGGUGUCCUUGGACAAGAUGGUCUUCUUGGAGGAGAUGGUCUCCUUGGUGGUGUCCUUGGACAAGACGGUCUUCUUGGAGGAGGUGGUGUCCUCGGUGGUGUCCUUGGGCAAGAUGGUCUCCUAGGAGGAGAUGGUCUCCUUGGUGGUGUCCUUGGAGGAGAUGGUGUCCUUGGAGGUCUCCUUGAUAAAGAUGGUGUCCUCGGAGGUCUCCUUGGCAAAGAUGGUCUUGUUGAUGGUC
rnacentral:lncRNA from 14 species